AUAUAAGUAAGCGGUGGAAAAUAUAUUAAACAAUAUUUCCUUAGUAAUGGCGAAUGAACAGGGAAGUGCUUGGCUUUUAAACUGAAGCCUCGGCUUUGGAUUGUAGCCUCUAAACAAAAUGCCAACAAAGGCGCAAGAGUAAGCCUCUUGGAAAAGAGCAUCAAUGUGGGUGAGAAUCCUGUAUUCCUCUUGCAGCCCAUUGUGCACGGCAUUUGCUUUCAGAGUCGCGUUCCUCGGAAGUGGAGCGUAAAGUGGGUGGUAAAUUUCAUCUAAAGCUAAAUAUGAGCUUGAGACCGAUAGCGCACAAGUA
rnacentral:rRNA from 1 species